CGUCGCAGUGGUUCAGUUGAGUAAGUGUAAACUUGACACCAAGGUAGUAGGCAUAGAGAAAAAUGGAGGGAGAAGAAGAGUUGCUAUGGAAAUCGGAGCCACAACGCGAGUCCAUCGUCUCCGUCACGCUCGCACGUGCUAUCACUUCUCUUCUCACUUCCCGUCCCAAGAAGCUUCAAGAUUCUAUUUCUCGCCUCUCUUCACAUUCUUCGCGCUCGCACACUUCACUCGUUUCCCUCGAAGACUCUCUCUGGUUUUUCCACAGCUACGUUGCCGACGCUGCGACCAAGAAUUCUUCCCUCGACCAAGUCCUUCUUCCAAUCAUCGACAGCGUGUUGAAGUCCAAGCACGGUGACCAAGCUAUGCUUCUGUUGAACUGGCUCUUCCAGGACGAGAUUCUUUUCCAACCCGUUGCCGAGGCUCUCGCUGGCCUAGUUGCCAGAAAGCACGUCAACGAUCGCUACUUGUUGCUUGGUUGGUGCCUCCUUCUUCGGAAUCUAGUUGAAUUUGAAUGUUCCGCUCAUCAAUCCAUGUUUGGUGGGAUACGCGAGAGGUAUGGAGAUUUGUUGAAGAUACUCUCCACUUGUCUUCCGGAUUUGGCUAGCAUUGUUAGUAAAGGAAGCACUUUGCAGGAUGGUUUUGAGUUGCCAUCUCGCCUUGGAGUGUCUGCGGCUGAUUGUUUUUUGUCUCUUUCGGGAGCAUUAACAAAAGUGGCGGACAAUAAAAAGUUGAAAUUAAAUGCCAGAGCAAAAGAUCAGGCAAUUACUUUUGUACAUUCUCCUACUACUGACAAGAAGGAGAAAUUGGAUUCAAAUUUUUUGAUGUCAAUGAUCGAUAGGGACUAUACUCUGUGGCAUCAUUUAGAUGACAUUAUUUGUUUGGUUAAAAGGCUCCUUUCUUGGAGCAGGAAAAGUCGUUUUUUACAUGCCAAAGGCUUGGAGCAAGUUCUUAAAUGGCUGCAGGAGAUAAAGAAUCACCAUGGAUCCUUUCAACUAGAGACUGAUUCUAAUGCUCUCAAGACUGGAGAUUUACUGCUCUGUUCUUGCUGGAAGCAUUAUAGCGUGCUACUACACCUGGAAGAUAAGAAGUUCUCACAGCAUUACAAGGAACUGUUGGACCAGUAUAUGUCUGGCAUCCAGUAUUAUAUGGACAACCACACUGGUGGUGGCUAUAUUGACAACAAUGAUGGUGGGUUGGAGACCAGAAAGUUCUUUUUGAAUUGUUUAUGCCUGCUUUUGGGACGUCUAGAUAUCAAGAGAUUUGAAAGCACAGUGUCGGAGUUUGGGAUGAAUAUCUCACGCAUUCUAGUACCACAGUUAAAUUGCACUGAUGAGGAUGUGAUAGCUGGAGUUGUUUCAAUAUUCAAGGCUAUCAUUCUGAGGCCAGAUUACACACAAGAAGAUGCACUUGCUGACAGUAGGAAGGCAAAUAGUGUGAUUCCUCUUCUGCUUCACCUUUUAGAUGAGCGGGAUGGUACAGCUAGAGCUGUUGUUAUGUUGAUAGGAGAAUACUGCUCAAUGAGCAAAGAUGAUCGCUGUCUUAUGGAAGUUCUGAAGCGCCUUUCUUCUGGAAACAUUUCCCAGAGAAGAAAUGCUAUGGAUGUUAUAUCAGAAGUCCUACAUAUAUCAUCAAAAUCACAAAGUUUAAUAUCUUGUUCUUCUAGGCAAGAUAUAGCAAACAAAUUGCUAGAGCGGCUUGGAGAUGAAGAAAUUAUGAUUCGUGAACAGGCAUCCAAAUUACUUCCAAUUAUAGACCCUUCACUGUACUUGCCUGCACUGGUUGGUCUUGUCUACUCUUCAGAUGUGAGACAAUCAAUUGCUAUUGAUUCCAUCAUUGAGGUCCUCAAACAUCACAACCAGAGAAUUGAAGUCAUAUUCUUGUUUCUUGACUGUCUUAGCAAUACCAGUAUAAGCGUAGACCUUCCACAGUCCAAUGGAGAUGAAGGGUCAAAGUUGGAUACUGACCGACUACUCAAACUGGUUCCAGUAUGGUCCAAAAAUGUUCAAGACUGGAACUUUUUAAUCGGACCACUGGUUGACAAGAUGUUUGCAGAUCCAUCAAAUGCAACUAUUGUCAAAUUCUUGAGUUAUAUAAGCGAAAAUCUGGCAACUGUUGCUGAUCUUGUAUUGCAUCAUGUUAUGUUGCAUGUUAGAGACCAGAAGCAGAUUGGUGAAAGUUUCUUAUCAAGAUGGGAGCAGAGAACCUACACAAGUGAUGAGUUUGAAGAAAUGCAGCAUUCUCUGUUCAAGCAUCUUUGCCCUUUGCUCAUAAUUAAAAUUCUUCCCUUGAAAACUUUCAACGACCUCAAUUCAUCAAUUAUGUAUGGGCAUCUCAGUAAAAACAUUAUCCAGGAUGUUGCAAACAGGAACACUGAUAUUGAUUGUGAUUGUAUCGCUGCUUUCCUUUUAAACAGGGCGUUUUGUGAGUUUGAAUUUGAAGAUGUUCGGAAGCUCUCUGCUGAGCUGUGUGGACGCAUUCAUCCACAAGUUCUGCUCCCAUUUGUUAGCUCCCUAUUAGAUGGAGCUGUUGCGUCUAAGAAUAUACUGAAGAUAAAGGCCUGUUUAUUUUCAAUCUGCACAUCACUUGUGGUCAGAGGAUGGGAGACGCUUUCUCAUUGUUCAAUGUAUGCAAUUAGAGAGAUGAUUGAAACUGUAUUAUUAUGGCCUUGUCUGAACGCUGAUUCAGUUUCUAAAGCACAACACGGAUGCAUUGAUUGUCUAGCACUAAUGAUAUGUGCGGAACUACAAGCUAAGGAAUCAAUCGCCACUUCCAUGCCUGACAAAAUUAGGGCCCUUGGAAAAGAAGUCUUCUGCUGCAGGGAAGUCUGUUGUCAGCUAUGUGAUCAAUCAGUUCUUUAACUACAAGAAUGAACGAACUUCAACUCCUGAGUUUGGGGAUGAAAACUCAGAAUUUGUUCCUGCUUCAGUUUCUCUCUCUUUUCGUCUGUGUAUGGGUAAUGUUCUCAUUAGCACUUGCCAGAAGAUACCAGAAUCUGGCAAGAAGCCCUUUGCAGCACAAGUUAUUCCUUUUCUCCUUCAAUGUCUUGAGUUUGAAACAAAGUCAGAGAUUAGAGCAGCAUGCACCCAGGUUCUAUUUUCAGCCGUGUAUCAUCUAAGAUCUGCAGUUCUUCCCUAUGCAUCUGACCUUCUCAGAAUUGCCCUAAAAGCCCUAAGGAAGGAGUCAGACAAGGAAAGGAUAGCAGGUGCGAAGCUCAUAGCAUCACUUAUGGCCAGCGAAGAUGUGAUUUUGGAAAACAUAUCUGUUGGACUAUUAGAAGCCAGGUCUGUACUCUCAACCAUAUCUUCGUCAGAUCCUUCUCUUGAGUUACAACAGCUUUGCGGCAAGUUGCUAGCAUGCAUAUCUUCUCCUUGAAUUGCAACAAACUCUAUUGUAGGCUUGUAGCGGUAUCCCUCUUUUCCCCCUUUUAUUUAUUCAGUGUACAUAGUUCACUUUUGUAUGUGCAGAUAAAAAUUUUUUGAAAUAGGUUCAUUGCAUACUUGUAUGAGACAAGAAGAAUAUAUUCCCAUGAUCAUGUUGUAUACAAUAUCUGUUAAUACCCGUUAACGUCAAAUUCAGGGACAUGCAGCACA